AGGUUCUUCCGCCCCGAGCUGGCCUGGCGCCUCCCGGCCGCCAUAAGCAGAGGCUGGGGAGCGUGGCCCCGAGUGCUCACCUGGGGUCGAGGAGUACCGAGGGGCUUAGGCCGGGCUCCGGGUCAUUCGUUCGUCCUCUCAUUCAUUCAUUCCUUGAGCCGACUCUGGAAUUGAGAUGGGUUCGGUGGAUCCUAGAAGGAUUGUGCAGAUGCAGGAGUUGACCAAGUGGAAUUGCUGUAAACGUUGGCCAGCAGGAAGCAGCGUCACUUGUAGAAUCUUGGGCCUUUCUCCUGACCCCUGCAGGGAUUCGGAGACCGAGGCGCCCCCAGGUGGUUCACCCCAGCCGGCAGCUCAGUGAUGAAUCCACAGGAAGCUAAUACACAGCCGCCAGGUUCUUGCCUGGAAGCCACCCAAUGCAGUAAGAGACCCACUCGUCCACAGAAGUAGAUUUCGAAGGAUCAUCUGCCCUGCAGCUGUCAAAGAACUGAACUGGAGGUGGAGUCAGCCUCGAGGCCUUCCUCAGAAGGCGUUGGAGGGCUUGCCGUCCUGCAGAGUCAUGUCCUCAGGGAGGUCCUCUCUUCAUUCCAGUUUCUGGGGCUGGAUNNNNNNNNNNNNNNNNNNNNNNNNNNNNNNNNNNNNNNNNNNNNNNNNNNNNNNNNNNNNNNNNNCACCUGAAGACAAGAAUCAGAGGGAGUUUUCCUCCGCCUCCUGCUUCAGGCGCUGCCACUUGCGCUGCGCUUCUGGGGCUAAACGCCGGCUUUCUGGCGCGUGACCUACACCUCGGUGCUGUGCUUGGCCUGUGAACCAAGAAGAUGUGUUCUGCCCUACAGAAGCUGGUGACCCAGAGGAAGAAGAGACAAAUCUGGAUCGACCUUGCAUCCUUUCUCUGCUUUCCAAACAAAUCCGAAUGUUCGGACAUGAACUUGACAGUGUUCAUCUCACCGUUGCCCUGGAGACAGUAAGUCAGAUGUGUACAUAUCUUUUCGGUCUAUGCCGUCUGUCCUGUUACCUAUUUUUACUCUUGGAUACCCUUAAAAACAAACUUUAAACUUUGAAACAAACCCCAGUGCUCUUGGUCUUUGGGUUGUAUACCUUUUGACAGCCUUCAAUGCAAAACAGUACAGCUCUGCCCAGACUGUUUCUGUGGUACACGGCAGACCCAGCCAGGGUGAGCCAAGCCAGCAGGUGUUUGUUUAACACUUAGUAUUUUGAUUUACCUAAGGUAAGCACUCCUCCUACUUCUUCCGCUGUGUUACUUGUUCUAAUUCAGCUUCUUUUCCUGUGCUAUUAUUGCUAACUAGAGCCAGUUAAAGAAUGGAAAGAGAGCUAACAAGGGGUUUGUAGGAUGGUAAGUAGAAUUUUCUUGCUCGGCAUUUGGCUCACGUACCAUUCUUUGAAAACCUGGGUAUCUAGGACUCAGGCAUCGUCACUAAACUUAUUUACCACGGAAUUCUUUAUUCUCUCAUUUACAACCGCCUUGAAGAAUACUUGAGAAUGUUAGACUUAUCCAAAUGUGAAGUGCACUGAAACUCAGCGUAACCCUUUGACUCUGUAAAAUGAAGCCCAGGUGUAUAGAUUAAUGUCCAGAAGAGAGUUUUUGAAGGAGUGGCCCUUUCAAAUAAUUCUUAUUAGCUAGGAGAACAUUUAAAAACUCCUGUGUUAAGCUGCUCAUAUAAUGCUUUGUGCUUUGACAGGCUUCUCUAACUCCCCUGGACAGAGCGAGUUGUUUUUCCAAGUCUCCUCUGCCUUAUGUACUGUAUUUAUCUGUUUUAUUUACUUUUAAAUUCUCUUCUUGCCAGCGAUAGUGACUAGGACGUAAUAGGUGACCAGAAAAACGCUUGUUGAAUUGAACUGAGGAAGAGCCUUCCUUAUUCUGAUACUGUGCAAAAACAAUCUACACUGAGUAUUAUAAUGAGUGGUGAAAUAUUUAAAAGCUUUCCUUUGAGAUUGGGACCUAAACAAGCAUGUCCGCUAUCAUCACUUCUUUUUAAUGUCCCAUUGCAUGUCCUAGACAGUUCAAUAAAGGAAGGAAAAGAAAUUUUAAUAUAUGAGGAUAGAACAGGAAGAAAGAUGUAUAUGUAAAUGGUUUGACUCCACAUAAAGCCAAAGAAAUAAUUACUUUACUGGAUCCCAGAUAAACCAGAAAGUAGGGAUUUUUUUUUUUUUUUUUAGCCUGGUGAUAUUCAGUACCUAAGCAUUUUGUCUGGGUCAAUGCAGUUAUCACACUGCAUUGUGUGACAAGAAACACUUGUCAUGUAUCUCAGUGUCACUGAAACACCGCUGAGAAUUUUGUCCUCUCUCAUCUGUAAUAUUCUGCACGGACAAUAACUGCAGAUUCUGACUUAGAAAGUAAGACUCAGUCAUAAGCCAAAAUCGGCCUGUACCAGCUCCUGGGAGCAGAUUGAUCACAUUUCUUUUUAACUCUGGGUUUCUUGUCCUCAAUCACUUCAGUAGCUUGAAAUCGUCAGCCAUGCUGGGAGUGUUUACAUCACAGAAACUGGCCCAAACCACAGGUCAGUACUGAGGCCCUCGCCUACCAAGGCUGGUCACUAAACAUUGACUAACACACUACUGGGCAUCAGAUAAUGACAUGAAACGUUCUGACAGCUUCAUUGAAAGGGCAAAGAAACUAUUGACAUGAUGUCUUAAAAUUGGGGGUUUUGUUUUAAAUAGGAAAACAGGUACCUGAAGUUAGAGAAGAAUCUCCGUUUAGACUUAGAUGUUGAGUUCCAGACAUGUGGAAUGACCGCCAUCCAAUUUAAUUUAAAAAAAAAAAAAAAAAAGUCCUAUCAAUUUUUAAAUAAGCAGUGGCUUAGAUUAAAUUUGCACUCUUGCUCUCUCACGCGCACUCUCUCCUUCUCUCCCUCCCCGCCCCCCUUAUUUAACCCAAACUCCUCGAGCACAUUAAUGGGUCUGGUCUGUCCUUUUACAGUUGGAGCGGCAUUGGUGAUUGUAAAUCAAGGCAAUGUUUAACCAGGAUUUCGCGGUGUUGUUUCUGUUAGGAUUUUGAGGGUUUUCCAUAAGGGUAUAUGUUAUGGGAAAAGCACAUACAAACCGGGAAAAGGAAGUUUGCUGGAAGCCGGAAGGGGGUUGUGUUGAUGGUGGCUGUUCCUUUAAGACAAUCACCCUGGGUGUCAUGUUUAGAAAGGGGAUUCAAGCGUGGACGUGGUAUGGGCAGGCAUCCAUAGGAUGGUCUGAGUUCGCCUUCCAAGUGCGUGCGGGCUUGGGGGGAGCUGGAGGAGGAAGGGGAUCUUGCAGU
rnacentral:lncRNA from 1 species